rnacentral:rRNA from 1 species
GACGAACGCUGGCGGCGUGCUUAACACAUGCAAGUCGAACGGAAAGGCCUGCUUUCCCUUGUGGAUUGCGGGUACUCGAGUGGCGAACGGGUGAGUAACACGUGAGUGAUCUGCCCCCAACUUGGGUAUAAGCCUGGGACACUGGGUCUAAUUCCCGAUAGGACUGAAGGGUGGUGCCUGUGGUGGAAAACGAUUUUCUAGUGGUUGGGGAUGAGCUCGCGGCCUAUCAGCUUGUUGGUGGGGUAAUGGCCUACCAAGGCGGCGACGGGUAGCCAGCCUGAGAAGGUGGACGGCCACAUUGGGACUGAGAACCGGCCCAGACUCCGACGGGAGGCAGCAGUGGGGAAGAUUGCACAAUGGGCGGAAGCCUGAUGCAGCGACGCCGCGUGGGGGAUGACGGCCUUCGGGUUGUAAACUCCUUUCGGCCGCGAGGAAGCCUCCUGGUUGGAAGGGUGGUGACGGUAGUGGUAGAAGAAGCACCGGCUAACUACGUG